UGGGGAAUAUUGGACAAUGGGGGCAACCCUGAUCCAGCCAUGCCGCGUGAGUGAUGAAGGCCUUAGGGUUGUAAAGCUCUUUCGACGGGGACGAUGAUGACGGUACCCGUAGAAGAAGCCCCGGCUAACUUCGUGCCAGCAGCCGCGGUAAUACGAAGGGGGCUAGCGUUGUUCGGAAUUACUGGGCGUAAAGCGCACGCAGGCGGUGACCAUAGUCAGAAGUGAAAGCCCUGGGCUCAACCCGGGAAUUGCUCUUGAUACUGGGUCGCUAGAAUCACGGAGAGGGUAGUGGAAUUCCGAGUGUAGAGGUGAAAUUCGUAGAUAUUCGGAAGAACACCAGUGGCGAAGGCGACUACCUGGCCGUCGAUUGACGCUCAUGUGCGAAAGCGUGGGGAGCAAACAGG
rnacentral:rRNA from 1 species